rnacentral:rRNA from 1 species
GAUGAACGCUGGCGGCGUGCCUAAUACAUGCAAGUCGAGCGCGUGAGGCUAAACUGAACUCUUCGGAGUGACGUUUGGCGGAUCGAGCGGCGGAUGGGUGAGUAACACGUGGGCAACCUGCCUAUAAGACUGGGAUAACUUACGGAAACGUGAGCUAAUACCGGAUGAAACCUCUUAUCACCUGGUAAGAGGAUGAAAGAUGGCUUUUAGCUAUCACUUAUAGAUGGGCCCGCGGCGCAUUAGCUAGUUGGUGAGAUAAAAGCUCACCAAGGCAACGAUGCGUAGCCGACCUGAGAGGGUGAUCGGCCACACUGGGACUGAGACACGGCCCAGACUCCUACGGGAGGCAGCAGUAGGGAAUCUUCCGCAAUGGACGAAAGUCUGACGGAGCAACGCCGCGUGAACGAAGAAGGUUCUCGGAUCGUAAAGUUCUGUUGUUAGGGAAGAACACGUACCAUUCGAAUAGGGUGGUACCUUGACGGUACCUAACGAGAAAGCCCCGGCUAACUACGUGCCAGCAGCCGCGGUAAUACGUAGGGGGCAAGCGUUGUCCGGAAUUAUUGGGCGUAAAGCGCUCGCAGGCGGUUUUUUAAGUCUGAUGUGAAAUCUUGCGGCUCAACCGCAAGCGGUCAUUGGAAACUGGAGAACUUGAGGACAGAAGAGGAGAGUGGAAUUCCACGUGUAGCGGUGAAAUGCGUAGAGAUGUGGAGGAACACCAGUGGCGAAGGCGACUCACUGGUCUGUAACUGACGCUGAGGAGCGAAAGCGUGGGUAGCGAACAGGAUUAGAUACCCUGGUAGUCCACGCCGUAAACGAUGAGUGCUAGGUGUUAGGGGGUUUCCGCCCCUUAGUGCUGGCGUUAACGCAUUAAGCACUCCGCCUGGGGAGUA